CUUAGGUACCCAACUUCAGCUGAGUAUUUCAAGUAUAGUGGAGCAACUACUUACUGUACCCACAACAAAUAUCAUCCGAUACCUCAAAUCAGAAAGUUCCCCGGUGAAUUUCAAAUUAUAAAUGAUUUGGAAAAUGAUGCUGUAGCCCUAUUGAAAGCUGGCACUGAUCUGCAUUAAUAUCACAGUACAGAAAUCAGCGAACCAAAAACGUAUAAUGCAGCACUGAUUUGAAUAAUUCUUUUUGGAAUAAGAGAAAUUGGAUAAGAAGGAAAACGAUGCUUCAGAAUUUUCUAUUGGCUCUGUAUUGACUCAAAUUCAGGAGGGUAAGGAACGGGUUAUCGCAAAAGUGAGAAGAAGUGGUCUACUUAUGAUAGGGAGUUGUAUGCUAUUGUUUGGAGUGUCAGGCAUUUUAAGCAUUAUUUGCGUGGUAACCAUUCUUAUUGUUACAGGCCACAAACCCUUGACAGGUUUACAGGGGUUACAUAUAGAAAAUGAUGUAACAGGUCGUCAAACACGAUGGAUUCUUGAUUUGAAUAUGUUCAAUUGGAAGAUUGUGUACAAAUCGGGUAAGACAUAUCUGAAUGCGGAUUCAUUAUCCCGUAGACCCGAUCC